AUUGAACGCUGGCGGCAUGCUUUACACAUGCAAGUCGAACGAGUGGCGAACGGGUGAGUAAUAUAUCGGAACGUACCGAGCAAUGGGGGAUAACCAAUCGAAAGAUUGGCUAAUACCGCAUAUUAUUCAAGCGGCCGAUAACUGAUUCGCUCGUUGUUGGGGUAAAGGCCUACCAAGGCGACGAUUAGUAGCGGGGCUGGGAGGACGAGCCGCCAAACUGGGACUGAGACACGGCCCAAACUCCUACGGGAGGAAGCAGUGGGGAAUUUUGGACAAUGGGAGCAACCCUGAUACAGCCAUGCCGCGUGUAUGAAGAAGGCUUUCGGGUUGUAAAGUACUUUUGUUAGGGAAGCGGUACCUAAAGAAUAAGCACCGGCUAACUACGUGCCAGCAGCCGCGGUAAUAC
rnacentral:rRNA from 1 species